CGUGGUCGCCAUACUAAUAAUGAUCGUGGCCCUCAAGAAGGUUUGGGCACUCGAGAAGAAGUAGAGACUCGGGGGAUUGUGCACGCUAGGGGCAGUACACGUACUAGGGGUGGUGUGCGCACUAGAGGCGGUGUACAGAGAAGGGGCGGUGUACGUACUAGGGGUGGCGCAAAUACAUCGCACCCGAUUUGUCUAGAAAGGUAAAUAUAAUAUUACUUAACACAAAUAGAGGUAAAUAACUAUUGCGUAGGUACUAUUACAGUCAAAAUUUAAAUCAGUAUUUAUUAAUUUAUGUUUCUCUAUUUUUAGCAUUUAUUGUGGCCCUCUUAAAGACUGGCCAAGUGGCUUGGCCAUCGAAGUUCCUUUACGGAAAAAAUUUUUUAGGAGGACGACACCGAGUCCCGAACCCGCACGUUCAAGAACUCCCAUACUAGUACAGCAUGAUGAAAUACUAUCUGCAGCUGAAACAUUAGCAGCGCUGAGUUCAGCCCCGCCAUCGCCUGGUUUAGACCAAGGAGCCAUAUCCCAUAUAUUAUCGGCAGCUGAAACAUUAGCAGCUCUGAGUUCAAAUCCGCCGUCGCCUCUUUUAGACAAAGAAGCCAGCUGGCCCUCGUUGCCCCGUGAUUUUGAGUUAGUAUAACAACUAGUACAAUUUUCUCGUGCCUACGCAGAUAAUUAUUUCUUGACUAAUUUUUGCACUUUUGCAGAUUGUUUGAUACUGCAGUUGCAUCACGAGUCGUUUCACCUGCACUUUCAUUAGUUUCAAACGCACCUUCUCCAAUAGUGUGAGUAUUUUUAUUACUUAUAUAAAUUAUUUACUUCUAUUUUCUUUAUUACUUAUUAUUUUUACAAUAUUGUGUCCCAGAAAGAUUACGUGGUUAUAUUUUGUUUUUAUUUACAGAAAUAUUGAAGUCGACACGGUUCAGACAUCUGCCCUUAGAACAGUGCGCCUUCCCAAACGCAGAGAGGAAUCUCCU